CGUGUGUUUUCACUGGUCUUGCAAAAAUGAGGGCCAUGUUAAUAUUAAUCCCACAGAAAAUGCUAAGGCUUUGUUCUCUCUCAGCGUUGGCGAAAGCGCCUUGGACAAUCUGUCAAUUCCAAACGAGCUCGGAAACGAAGCAGGCUGCUGACUUCCAGUGCAGGUGGAACUGCAAAAGCAGAGCCAAUAGACCUUGAAGAAAACUCUACACUUUAUUUUGAGCUUGCUGUUGAAGAAAUCAUAGAUUUCACAGGCGAAUAUUCUGGGCUUGAAGUCACCAAUCUAACUGGUGAUGAUUCUGUUGUGCAGUGGGAGCACAAUGAGAAGCACCCACUUGUUUCCGAAGCAGCAGA